rnacentral:lncRNA from 1 species
UCUUGCAGGAGCAAAGGCAGUUACUCACCAGGCUGUUGAUAAUAACCAGGGGUUGCAUCAGCUCAUGGGAUUUGGAAUAGUUUUAAAGCAUCAAAAUCCUGAUGUGCUGGAAAGGGUUUCACAUGCUGACCAUAAUCUUUGUGCUGUUUCAGCUGUUGUGUCAGCUGUCUCACCAAAGCUGACACAUUUGAAGGGCAGAUGGCUCCUUGGCCUUUCAGAAAACACAAGCGCUGCUGGUGAAAGUGUUGCCAUUAUAAUAGAUACAACUUCAUCUCCAGCCAAGUCUUCUGUAUUUCUUACCAGCGUUUUUUUGCUGUGGUGUGGGAGCAAGGAAAAUGGAUUUGAUAGCCAGACUCGAGUGCUGUCUGGAGCAGUUAUGAUGCAUCCUGAGUGUGCUCCCAAGUCAGUGCUGAUCCACAGAUUGCUGAUACCAUCUAACUAAACCAGACAGGUGGCUUUACUGCAGGAGAGCUUAAGAUAUUUCUUGCCCAGCUGGUGGGAAGAAAAAAGAGCUGUCUUUUUUUCCCCUGUGAAAAAAUAAAAUUAAA